rnacentral:rRNA from 1 species
GCGUUGUCCGGAUUUAUUGGGUUUAAAGGGUGCGUAGGCGGCUUUGUAAGUCCGGGGUGAAAGCCCGUUGCUCAACAACGGAACUGCCUUGGAAACUGCGGGGCUUGAGUCCAGACGAGGUCGGCGGAAUGGGCGGUGUAGCGGUGAAAUGCAUAGAUACCGUCCAGAACCCCGAUUGCGAAGGCAGCUGACUAGGCUGGUACUGACGCUGAGGCACGAAAGCGUG